rnacentral:tRNA from 2 species
GGGCGAGUGGUGAAAUUGGUAUACACGCUAGUUUUAGGAACUAGUGGGGAAACCCGUGGAGGUUCAAGUCCUCUCUCGCCCACCA